CUUGCUUCUCUUGAGAGCGGCGGACGGGUGAGUAAUGCCUAGGAAUCUGCCUGGUAGUGGGGGAUAACGUUCGGAAACGGACGCUAAUACCGCAUACGUCCUACGGGAGAAAGCAGGGGACCUUCGGGCCUUGCGCUAUCAGAUGAGCCUAGGUCGGAUUAGCUAGUUGGUGGGGUAAUGGCUCACCAAGGCGACGAUCCGUAACUGGUCUGAGAGGAUGAUCAGUCACACUGGAACUGAGACACGGUCCAGACUCCUACGGGAGGCAGCAGUGGGGAAUAUUGGACAAUGGGCGAAAGCCUGAUCCAGCCAUGCCGCGUGUGUGAAGAAGGUCUUCGGAUUGUAAAGCACUUUAAGUUGGGAGGAAGGGUUGUAGAUUAAUACUCUGCAAUUUUGACGUUACCGACAGAAUAAGCACCGGCUAACUCUGUGCCAGCAGCCGCGGUAAUACAGAGGGUGCAAGCGUUAAUCGGAAUUACUGGGCGUAAAGCGCGCGUAGGUGGUUUGUUAAGUUGGAUGUGAAAUCCCCGGGCUCAACCUGGGAACUGCAUUCAAAACUGACUGACUAGAGUAUGGUAGAGGGUGGUGGAAUUUCCUGUGUAGCGGUGAAAUGCGUAGAUAUAGGAAGGAACACCAGUGGCGAAAGCGACCACCUGGACUAAUACUGACACUGAGGUGCGAAAGCGUGGGGAGCAAACAG
rnacentral:rRNA from 1 species